AGCCAUGAAAGAGGUAGUUAUCAAGGAGUUUUUGCGUAUCCUUUGUUUCGAGUCGCGUUUGGUCGGUUUUAGGGCAAAUUUUGUACAACAUGUCAGAUAUGGGUACCUAACUUGGAAACAUUCGGUGAACAACAUUUUAUAAGUAUGGAUUGGGUAACAAAAAUUUAUGUUGGACGAGCCACGAUAGAGGUAGUUACCGAGGAGUUUUUGCAUGUCCUUUGUUUUUGAGUCGCGUUUGGUCGGUUUUAGGGCAAAUUCUGUACAACAUGGAAUAUAUGGGUACUUACUUGGAAAAAUUAUGUGAACAACAUUUUUAAACAUGGAUUGGGUUAUGAAAAUUUAUGUUGGACGAGCCACGAAAGACUUAGUUAUCGAGGAGUUUUUGUGUGUCCUUUGUUUUCGAGUCCCGUUUGGUAGGUAUAAGGGAAAAUUAUGCACAAGUUUUCAUAUGUGGGUACCUAACAUGGAAAAAUUAUGUAAACAACAUUUUUUAAGCAUGGAUUGGGUAGCAAAAAGUUAUUUUGGACAAGCCAUGAAAGUGGUAUUUAUCGAAGAGUUUUUGCGUGUCCUUUGUGUCGAGUCGUGUUUGGUCGGUUUUAGGGAAAAUUCUGGACAAGCUAUCACAUAUGGGUACCUAACUUGGAAAAAUUCUGUGAGCAGCAUUUUUUAAGCAUGGAUUGGGUAACACUAAGUUAUUUUGGAUGAGCCAAGAAAUAGGUAGUUAUCGAGUAGUUUUUGCAUGUCAUUUGUUUUCGAGUCACGUUUGGUCGGUUUUAGGGCAAAUUCUAUACAAGACGUUAUAUAUGGGUACCUAACGUGGAAAAAUUAUGUAAACGACAUUUUUAAGCAUGGAUUGGGUAGGAAAAAGUUUUUUUGGACGAGACAUGAAAGAGGUAUUUAUCGAGGAGUUUUUGCGUGUCCUUUGUUUUCGAGUCACGUUUGGUCGGUUUUAGGGCAAAUUCUAAACAAGCUGUCAUAUAUGGGUACCUAACUUGGAAAUAUUCUGUGAGUAGCAUUUUCAAGCAUGGAUUGGGUAGCAAUAAGUUAUUUUGGACGAGCCAAGAAAGAGGUAGUUAUCAAGGAGUUUUUGCGUGUCCUUUGUUUUUUGAGUCGCGUUUGGUUGGUUUUAGGGAAAAUUCCGUACAAGAUGUAAUAUAUGGGUACCUAACUUGGAAAAAUUAUGUGAACAGCAUUUUUAAUUCUGGAUUGGCUUAUAAAAAGUUAUGUUGGACGAGCCACUAAAGAGGUAGUUAUCGAGGAGUUUUUGCGUGUCCUUUGUUUUCGAGUCGCGUUUGGUCGGUUUUAGGGCAAAUUCUGUACAACAUGUCAUAUAUGGCUACCUAACUUUGGAAAAAUUCUGUGACUGGCAUUUUUUAAGCAUGGAUUGGGUAGCAAAAAGUUAUUUUGGAAGAGCCACGAAAGAGGUAGUUAUCGAGUCACGUUUGGUCGAUUUUAGGGCAAAUUCUGUACAAGAUGUCAUAUAUGGGUACCUAACUUGGAAAAAUUCUAUGACCGGGUUUUUAAGCAUGGAUUGGGUAGCCAAAAGUUAUUUUGGACGAGCCAUGAAAGAGAUAGUUUUGAAGGAGUUUUUGCGUGUCCUUUGUUUUGAGUCGCGUUUGGUCGGUUUUAGGGCAAAUUUUGUACAACAUGUCAUAUAUGGGUACCUAACUUGGAAACAUUCGGUGAACGACAUUUUAUAAGGAUGGAUUGGGUAGCAAUAAUUUAUGUUGGACGAGCCACGAAAGAGGUAGUUACCAAGGAGUUUUUGCAUGUUCUUUGUUUUUGAGUCGCGUUUGGUCGGUUUUAGGGCAAAUUCUGUACAAGAUGUAAUAUAUGGGUACCUAACUUGGAAAAAUUAUGUGAACGGCAUUUUUAAGCAUGGAGUGGGUUAUAAAAAGUUAUGUUGGACGAGCCACGAAAGAGUUAGUUAUCGAGGAGUUUUCCGUGUCCUUUGUUUUCAAGUCGCGUUUGGUAGGUUUAAGGGCAAAUUAUGCACAAGUUUUCAUAUAUGGGUACCUAACUUGGAAAAAUUAUGUAAACAGCAUUUUUUAAGCAUGGAUUGGGUAGCAAAAAGUUAUUUUGGACAAGCCAUGAAAGUGGUAUUUAUCGAACAGUUUUUGCGUGUCCUUUGUUUUCGAGUCGUGUUUGGUCGGUUUUAGGGCAAAUUCUGGACAAGCUAUCACAUAUGGGUACCUAACUUGGAAAAAUUCUGUGAGCAGCAUUUUUUAAGCUUGGAUUGGGUAGCAAUAAGUUAUUUUGGAUGAGCCAUGAAAGAGGUAUUUAUCGAGGAGUUUUUGCGUGUCCUUUGUUUUCGAGUCGUGUUUCGUCGGUUUUAGGGCAAAUUCUAGACAAGCUGUCAUAUAUGGGUACCUAACUUGGAAAAAUUCUGUGAGUAGCAUUUUCAAGCAUGGAUUGGGUAGCAAUAAGUUAUUUUGGACGAGCCAAGAAAGAGGUAGUUAUCGAGGAGUUUUUGCGUGUCCUUUGUUUUUUGAGUCGCAUUUGGUUGUUUUUAGGGCAAAUUCCGUACAAGAUGUAAUAUAUGGGUACCAAACUUGGAAAAAUUAUGUGAACGGCAUUUUUAAUUAUGGAUUGGGUAAUAAAAAGUUAUGUUGGAGGAGCCACGAUAGAGUUAGUUAUCGAGGAGUUUUUGCGUGUCCUUUGUUUUCGAGUCGCGUUUGGUCGGUUUUAGGGCAAAUUCUGUACAACAUGUCAUAUAUGGGUGUAACACCCCAGAUGUAACUUUCCAUAUUUGCAACUUCAACUCUUGCCAUUUUUGGCUAUGUGUUAUGACAUUCCCUUCAUGGUCGGGUUUUGUUUUCCGUUUUGCAUUUUUCUUUUGUCAUGCAUCUCAUAUCAUGUCAUCAUGUGCAUUGCAUUUGCAUACGUGUUCGUCUAUUGCAUCCGAGCAUUUUCCCAGUUGUCUGUUUUGCAAUCCGGCACUCCCACCUCCUCCGGCGCACCCUCUUGUUUUCUUUUCGUGAGCGGGUGUUGAACAUUCUCGAAAUGGACCGAGGCUUGCCAAGCGGCCUUGGUAUACCACCGGUAGACCACCUGUCAAGUUUCGUUCCAUUUGGAGGUCGUUUGGUACUCCAACGGUUAACCGGGCAACCGCAAAGUCCUUUUGUGUGUUGCAGCAAAAUCCCCCUCCUAAUAGCCCAAAACCCAUCUAAGUCACUUCCAUGCUCUAGGUCGUUCGAUCACGAUCGUGUGGGCGAAAAUCGUGCUCAAUUUGGAGUCUCCUAGCUCCCUUUACCUAUAAAAACACCUCCCCCUCCGAAAUCUGGGCGAAACCCUAGCAAAAAUCGUCCUCCGCGCCGCCGGACGCGUCCACUCCCGCCGGACGAANNNNNNNNNNNNNNNNNNNNNNNNNNNNNNNNNNNNNNNNNNNNNNNNNNNNNNNNNNNNNNNNNNNNNNNNNNNNNNNNNNNNNNNNNNNNNNNNNNNNNNNNNNNNNNNNNNNNNNNNNNNNNNNNNNNNNNNNNNNNNNNNNNNNNNNNNNNNNNNNNNNNNNNNNNNNNNNNNNNNNNNNNNNNNNNNNNNNNNNNNNNNNNNNNNNNNNNNNNNNNNNNNNNNNNNNNNNNNNNNNNNNNNNNNNNNNNNNNNNNNNNNNNNNNNNNNNNNNNNNNNNNNNNNNNNNNNNNNNNNNNNNNNNNNNNNNNNNNNNNNNNNNNNNNNNNNNNNNNNNNNNNNNNNNNNNNNNNNNNNNNNNNNNNNNNNNNNNNNNNNNNNNNNNNNNNNNNNNNNNNNNNNNNNNNNNNNNNCCGCGCUCUCCGCCGCCCGGGCGCCUCGCCCGACCGCGCCCGACCCCGGCGCCUCCUCCUGCUCUCUUCCCCGACCGCCGCGCCUCUCCUUCCUCCGGCCUCGUCCUCUCCCGACUCCGGCGAGCUCGAGCUCAAACCCUAGCUCCGGGGAGCUCCCGAUCCGAUCUGUCCAGAGGUUGACUUUCCCUCCCCCCGUUUUUUCUCCAAGUCCCGAGCAUUUUUACAUUCUAUUGCAUACUUUGACACAUCAUAACUCUCUGAAUAUAGCUCUGUUUCAUGCGUGUAAUAUAUCAAAAUGUUCAUCUCGAGAUGCUCUUCAUUUUGUUCCAUUGCACCAUGUUCAUUUGUGUCCAUCUUGAGGCCCAAAUCUCUGGUGCAAGAGUGCUAGUUGCUGUUAACUGCUGUUACUUAUCAGAACUUGAGGAUUUGUUAUUUUUGUUGCUAUUGAUGUGUGCAUCUUAUGAGUAGGAUCUCAACAGGUGUAUUGAUGUAUGCCAUUCCAUCUUUACAGAGGUGUAUGCCAUGUAUUUUGGUGAUCUCUGUGGUGACUAGCACAAGCAUGCAAACUAGGCUUCGUAAUGUUUCUGAUUUCAGGGACUUCGUAAUUUUACCAAGUCUGUGACUGCUGUUAUUGUGUUGCUAUGUAUCCAUGUGGCUACAGAGCGAUCCAUGCUUAUUUUGGAGAUGUUUAGUAAGAAUCUUUUGUAGAUAUAGUUGUGCGCUAUCCAUCCAUGCCUCUUUUUGCAAUUAUCGAGUGACAUAGCUUGACUCAAUUUUGCUCUACUUUUGCUAUAAAAUAUUUCUGGCAGAUUGUUUACGUGUUAUUCAAUUUUGCCAAGCCUGUUGUAGUUGAUCCAUGCAUGCUAUGAACUUGCUCUUGCCAUGGAUAGAUUUACAAACAUGCCAUCUUGCUGGAGGUAUGCUUGUUUUGUCAUGCAUUGCUUUGUGGUGAGUUCAUCAAGCUCACAAAGAUGCCUUCAUAUUACUGUUUCUGUCAUAUUACUGUCAUCAAGCUCAGUCUGUAACCUGUUAACGAAACUUUCUAUGUUUACAUGGUUGCCAUCAUAUCUUCUGGUCCUUUUUGGCUUAUGGUCACUAAGGGACUUUUGUUAUAUGCAUUUAGUAGAAUACUGACAUGCCUUGUUUUGCCAUGUUAAGUUCCUGUAGCAUGUUGAUUGCUUGCUCUGAACAUCGCUACCUGAUGCUGUUUAUGCCAUGUCCAGUAAUUUCACCAAGUCUGUGAACAUGAUAUCUUUUGCACUAUUGCCAUGCCUGUUUGAACAUGCUGUGGUGUGAUCUAGCCGUAGCUCAUUGUUCAUCUUUUGUCAAGCACCUCCUGUAGAUUACAGCCAUAUGCUUUGCUGCUAUGUUGGGGUGCUGUAGCAUUAUUACUUGUUGCAUUCUAAGUGCUAUCAUGCUGUUAAUCGCAGAUUCGUGUCAUUCUUGUUUUGCUUGCCAUUUGCAAACCGUGCAUCCGUUUCCGGUGAUCUUUAUAUCGAUUUCAACCGAAAUCAUCUCAUCUUUCCAGUGGCAUGCUUGGUUUGUCAAUUUACUGCCUUGUUCAUCAUUUUUCUUCCGGAGCACGCAUAUCAUAUCUUGCAUAUCAUUCAUGUAUUGCAUCAUGUUGCUUGUGCAUUUCCCGUGAUUGAUUGUGGUUCCGUUGCUUGUGUUCUUGUUUUGGGUAGAGCCGGGAGACGAGUUCGUGAACGAGGAACCUGUUGAGUACGCUUACGAGGAUCAAGCUUUCGACAACUCUGAGAACCUUGCAGGCAAGAUGACCAUACCCUCGAAAUCACUUCUAUCUUUGCUUUGCUAGUUGUUCGUUCUUUGCCAUGCUACGCUACCUAUCACUUGCUAUAUCAUGCCUCCCAUAUUGCCAUGUCAAGCCUCUAACCAUCCUUUCCUAGCAAACCGUUGUUUGGUUAAGUUACCGCUUUUGCUCAGCCCUUCUUAUAGCGUUGCUAGUUGCAGGUGAAGUUGAAGGUGGUUCCAUGUUGGAACAUGGAUAUGUUGGGAUAUCACAAUAUCUCUUAUUUAAAUUAAUGCAUCUAUAUAUUUGGUAAAGGGUGGAAGGCUCGGCCUUAUGCCUGGUGUUUUGUUCCACUCUUGCCGCCCUAGUUUCUGUCAUACCGGUAUUAUGUUCCUUGAGUUUGCGUUCCUUACGCGGUUGGGUGAUUUAUGGGACCCCCUUGACAGUUCGCCUUGAAUAAAACUCCUCCAGCAAGGCCCAACCUUGGUUUUACCAUUUGCCACCUAAGCCUUUUUCCCCCGGGUUUUCGUGAGCCCGAGGGUCAUCUUUAUUUAAACCCCCGGGCCAGUGUUCCUCUGAAUGCUGGUCCAACCUAGAGCACCAUGCGGGACCGUCCCUUGGCAACCUAGAGCUUAUGAUGGGCUAAGUUGGGACACUCCUGCAGGGUAUUAUCUUUCGAAAGCCGUGCCCGCGGUUAUGAGGCGGAUGGGAAUUUGUUAAUGUCCGGUUGUAGAGAACUUGGCAGUUGACCCAAUUAAAAUACAUCAACCGUGUGCGUAACCGUGAUGGUCUCUUCUCGGCGGAGUCCGGGAAGUGAACACGGUUUGAGUUAUGCAUGAACAUAAGUAGUUUCAGGAUCACUUCUUGAUCAUGUCUAGCUUCGCGACCGUUGCGUUGCUUCUCUUCUCGCUCUCAUUUGCGUAUGUUAGCCACCAUAUAUGCUUAGUGCUUGUUGCAGCUCCACCUCAUUACACCAGCCUUUCCUAUAAGCUUAAAUAGUCUUGAUCUCGCGCGUGUGAGAUUGCUGAGUCCUCGUGACUCAUAGAUUCUACCAAAACAGUCGCAGGUUCCGACGAUGCCAGUGCAGGUGAUGCAACCGAGCUCGAGUGGGAGUUCGAUGAGGGACGUGGCCGUUACUAUGUGUCUUUUCCUGAUGAUCGGUAGUGGAGCCCAGUUGGGACGAUCGGGGAUCUAGCAUUUGGGGUUAUCUUAUUUUCAUUUGGAUUUUGACCGUAGUCGGUCUAUGUGUGGUUUUUGGAUGAUGUAUGAAUUAUAUUUAUGUAUUGUGUGAAGUGGCGAUAUUAAGCCAACUCUCGUUAUCCCAUUUUUGUUCAUUACAUGGGAUUGUGUGAGGAUGACGCUUCUUGCGACAAAACCACUAUGCGGUUUUGCCACUAAGUCGUGCCUCGACACGUGGGAGAUAUAGCCGCAUCGUGUUCGUUAUAAUGGGUACCUAACUUUGGAAAAAUUCCGUGAAUGGCAUUUUUAAGCAUGGAUUGGGUAGCAAAAAGUUAUUUUGGAAGAGCCACGAAAGAGGUAGUUAUCGAGGAGUUUUUGGAUGUCAUUUGUUUUCGAGUCGCGUUUGGUCGGUUUUAGGGCAAAUUCUGUACAAGAUGUCAUAUAUGGGUACCUAACUUGGAAAAAUUCUGUGAAUGACAUUUUUUAAGCAUGGAUUGGGUAGCAAAAAGUUAUGUUGGACGAGCCACUAAAGAGGUAAUUAUCGAGGAGUUUUUGCGUGUCCUUUGUUUUCGAGUCGCGUUUGGUCGGUUUUAGGGCAAAUUAUGUACACCAUGUCAUAUAUGGGUACCUAACUUUGGAAAAAUUCUGUGAAUGGCAUUUUUUGAGCAUGGAUUGGGUAGCAAAAAGUUAUUUUAGAAGAUCCACGAAAGAGGUAGUUAUCGAGUCACGUUUGGUCGGUUUUAGGGCAAAUUCUGUACAAGAUGUCAUAUAUGGGUACCUAACUUGGAAAAAUUCUAUGACCGGCUUUUUAAACAUGGAUUGUGUCGUGGAAUUGUCACGGCAGAUGUCCUAGUGUAAGGACUUAGUCGCGAGGCCAACGCAUCUAUGUGGGAUCUUGAAGGGGUUGAGCGGAAUCAAGAGACGCAACACGUAAGACGAGGAUUUAGACAGCUUCGGGCCCCGGGAAACAUCAUCCGGUAAUAACCCUACAUGCUGUUUGUAGCUAGGUCUCAUUAUGAUCAUGAAGGAGUCGCCGUAAGCCGGCUCUCCUUUUUCUGUCUAGCCCUAGAUAUUGUUUCUUGUCUCUCGUCCCUCUUGGGGAGCCCUGCCGGCCCCUCCUUAUAUAAGUUGAAGGGGCGGCUUACAUGUAGAGUCCUAGUAGGACUAGGACUAGUCUAUCUUUUCUUACAAGUUGAAUACAAGUCCAGGUCUUGCUUCCUUUGUAGGAAGAAUAUUCCUUAUGCCUUUCCUCUUAAGUCGGCCUACCAUAACGUAAGCCGGCCUUCUGGGCCUUGAGCCUCUUGGGCCCCCGGGUCUUUUCGCUCCUCUGAUCCGCUUGCCACGUCACCCAUAAGUCGCCAGACUCGGGCAGGUCACUUAGUGAGUCGUCCAGUCAGGGCGGGUCAUUAGUACGUCGCGAAGUCCGGCCGGGUUAUACAUCCGGCCGGGUCAUACUGCGGGGUAUAUCCCCGACAGAUUGGGUAGCCAAAAGUUAUUUUGGACAAGCCAUGAAAGAGAUAGUUAUCAAGGAGUUUUUGCGUGUCCUUUGUUUCGAGUCGCGUUUGGUCGGUUUUAGGGCAAAUUUUGUACAACAUGUCAUAUAUGGGUACCUAACUUGGAAACAUUCGGUGAACGAAAUUUUAUAAGGAUGGAUUGGGUAGCAAAAAUUAUGUUGGACGAGCCACGAAAGAGGUAGUUACCGAGGAGUUUUUGCAUGUUCUUUGUUUUUGAGUCGCGUUUGGUCGGUUUUAGGGCAAAUUCUGUGCAAGAUGUAAUAUAUGGGUACCUAACUUGGAAAAAUUAUGUGAACGGCAUUUUUAAGCAUGGAUUGGGUUAUAAAAAGUUAUGUUGGACGAGCCACGAAAGAGUUAGUUAUUGAGGAGUUUUUGCGUGUCCUUUGUUUUUUAGUCGCGUUUGGUAGGUUUAAGGGCAAAUUAUGCACAAGUUUUCAUAUAUGGGUACCUAACUUGGAAAAAUUAUGUAAACAUCAUUUUUUAAGCAUGGAUUGGGUAGCAAAAAGUUAUUUUGGACAAGCCAUGAAAUAGGUAUUUAUCAAGGAGUUUUUACGUGUCCUUUGUUUUCGAGUUGCGUUUGGUCGGUUUUAGGACAAAUUCUGGACAAGCUAUCAUAUAUGGGUACCUAACUUGGAAAAAUUAUGUGAGCAGCAUUUUUUAAGCAUGCAUUGGGUAGCAAUAAGUUAUUUUGGAUGAGCCAAGAAAGAGGUAGUUAUCGAGUAGUUUUUACAUGUCAUUUGUUUUCGAGUCGCGUUUGGUCGAAUAUAGCUCAACCCCUUUGUUAUUCGACGUGGAUUGUAUUCGAAUCAGCGUCGCUAAACAACUCUUAAGGUCAUUUGGGGGCUUCCUGUUCAAACAUAGGUCGUAUUCGAACCAAAGAGAACAUAGCUGUCGAUACCCUUUUGAUUAGCAAACUGCUGAACCUACUUGGGUUCUUCUUGAUCGUAUCCGAAUCAUAGCUCAACCCCUUUGGGAUUCGACGUGGAUCGUAUUCGAAUCAGCGUUGCUAAACAACUCUUAAGGUCAUUUGGGGGCUUCUUGUUCAAACAUAGGUCGUAUUCGAACCAAAGAGAACAUAGCUGUCGAUACCCACUUUGAUCGGCAAUGCCAACGCCACUGGGGGCUAUAUGAUCGUAUUCGAAUCUUAGCUUAACCCCUUUGGAACGGUUUACUGAUCGUAUUCGAAUCAGAAGGCUCAAAUUUUUUUAUCUGUUUUUAUACAAUCACAAGUAUUUGAGUCGUCACAAAUAUCAUAUGUGCCGGCUUUUACCGGGUUACGUUAUCAACUUCACCCUCCGGGUCACGUAAACCGGUGGUAUCAUCCAAAGGAUCAUAAGUAUGAUAACAUCAAUUGUGUCUUAACAUCAUGAUUGAUAACCGGCUUGUCUAUUUAUGAUUCUUUUUGGGUUUUUUAUAUGACCCGCCCUGCGGCAAACCGCCAAGGGUUCUUGUGAUCUACUUGUGUGCAGGGUAAGACUACAUUUGGGUGGUUACCCGCCCUGGUUUUUGACGUUAAGUCGCCAGGGCAUAUGUUGUUUAAACUCUGUGCAGGAUUUGCAGAACUAUGACUUAUAUAAAUGCUUCAGUCCAAGCUCAUCACUGAAAUUGGUGUCUCAAAAGGGUUAUCAAUUAUUGGUUUUCUCAAGGGCUAUAGGCCACCGGGUUACAAAAAUUCCGGCUUACAAUGAAGGCGCAUUAAGUCGUCAUUGGCCAAGAGCCGCCAGGUAUUUAAACUCCGGGUUUACUUGUCAACCGAUGAGGUAUUCAAAUCUUUAAUAGCCAAAACUGGCUGAAUUUUCAUGAUGAUAUUGAAUGAUUGAGGUUUUCAUACCGGAUUAUAUUAUUCAAAUCUUGAAUAGCCAACAUGGCUGGAUUUCUAUUGUGAUUAUCAAUAACCAGUGUUAUGAUUGAGGUUUUCAAAGUCGCUUUAGCGCAACGGCUAUUAUUUUUAUCAAUGGGCAUGAUUUAUUUUACAAUGGAGGAAAUAGUCCCGAGUCGCUGCAGGCUUACGACCCGGCACUUGGGGGCUACAUUGUUCAAAUCGAGAUUACAUCGAAUAUACAAGUCCCAUGUCACUGCCAGCAUGCACCAUGGCACUUGGGGGCUAAUGCAAAGUCAUAUUUUGCUCAACUUAUUGAAGACCCGACUCAUCACAUUUUAAAUGAGCCGGCCCUUGGGGGCUACCAAUUGCUCCUGUCGGAAAUUCAAGGUACACAAGCCUUAAUCCAUUAUAUUGAAAGAUCCAUUAUUCAGUUGGUAGAGUACAAAGCUCUUAACCUUGUGGACGUGGGUUCAAGCCCCAUGGUGGAGAUUACAUCAUUUGAUGGUAUUAUCAACGAAUCAUAUACAAAGUCCCAGCUCAGUAAUAUCUUAUUGAGCCGGCCCUUGGGGGCUACACGUUGCUGUUAAAGUCUACAUGAUCAUAUUUUCAAAAGUCCCUGUUCAUUAUUGCAUAAUGACCCGGCCCUUGGGGGCUACACUGGUUGAAGUUUUCAUAAGCAUAAAGCAAUUACAACUCCCUGGUUGCUGCAAGCAUGACAACCCGGCACUUGGGGGCUACAUGUGUGGAAUAUUCAGUUUAUAUGAUUGAGAUGAAUAAACCGGAUUUCUUCAAGGUUGCAACAUUUAUUGGAGCAAGUCUUAAACCAUCACUUUGUUCUGCUCAAGACUUGGGGGCUACAUGUAAUAUGGAUAUAAGGGAGAAAAAUCUUCAAAUUAUCAGUUUUGAGCAAGUCAGGAGGAUCAAAUUGACCCGGUGUUUGCAACAAUCAUGAUCCGGCGUCACCAAUAAUUAUGACCCGACGUCGGCAACAGUUAUGACCCGGUGCUAUCAAUAUUUAUAAGUCGGCAAUUUUGAUAAACCGGCAAGUCUUACUUCUUCAACCCGGCUGAAAGUCAGAUGAGUAUUUCAAGACCAAUAUGUUUUAAGCCAGCGCUUUGGAAGCCGAUUCAAGUGGAUUAUUUCUUACAAUAUUUCUCUACAAGAGACCAAUGCCAGCAAAUUGACUCGGAAGCUGGCCUAUUGACCCGGAUUUCUCAAAAGAAGUAUCCGGAAUUUUUGCAUUCACAAAAGUUGGAACAUAUCUACUAAAGGAGAUUUGCUAUAAGUUCAUGGGCAUGUAUCAAAGAGGAGAUGACCAGGACUUAAGGAUGAUCAAGUGCCGGCUUACAAGAAUAUUUAACCCGGAGUACAACCUGUCAAUUUGUUCUUGUGUUUAUGUUGCAGAUCAGUUUAACAUGGAUAAAUCCAAAUUAAACUUGGGGGCUAAUGUCGGGGAUAUACCCCGCGGUAUGACCCGGCCGGAUGUAUAACCCGGCCGGACAUGGCGACGUACUAAUGACCCGCCCUGACUGGACUACUCACUAAGUGACCCGCCCGAGUCUGGCGACUUAUGGGUGACCUGGCAAGCGGAUCAGAGGAGCGACAAGAACCGGGGGCCCAAGAGGCUCAAGGCCCAGAAAGCCGGCUUACGUUAUGGUAGGUCGGCUUAAGAGGAAAGGCAUAAGGAAUAUUCUCCUACAAAGGAAGCAAGACCUGGACUUGUAUUCAACUUGUAAGAAAAGAUAGACUAGUCCUAGUCCUACUAGGACUCUACAUGUAAGCCGCCCCUUCAACUUAUAUAAGGAGGGGCAGGGCUCCUCAAGAGGGACGAGAGACAAGAAACAAUAUCUAGGGCUAGACAGAAAGAGGACAGCCGGCUUAUGGCGACUCCUUCAUGAUCAUAAUGAGACCUAGCCACAAACAGCAUGUAGGGUUAUUACCGGAUGAUGUUUCCCAGGGCUCGAAGCUGUCUAAAUCCUCGUCUUAUGUGUUGCGUAUCUUGAUUCUGCUCAACCCCUUCAAUCUACCACAUAGAUGCGUUGGCCUCGCGUCUAAGUCCUUACACUAGGACAUCUGCCGUGACAAUUCCACGACAGUCGGUUUUAGGGCAAAUUCUAUACAAGACGUCAUAUAUGGGUACCUAACGUGGAAAAAUUAUGUAAAUGACAUUUUUUAAGCAUGGAUUGAGUAGCAAAAAGAUUUUUUGGACGAGCCAUGAAAGAGGUAUUUAUUGAGGAAUUUUUGCGUGUCCUUUGUUUUCGAGUCGUGUUUGGUCGGUUUUAGGGCAAAUUCUAGACAAGCUGUCAUAUAUGGGUACCUAACUUGGAAAAAUUCUGUGAGUAGCAUUUUUAAGCAUGGAUUGGGUAGCCAUAAGUUAUUUUGGACGAGCCAAGAAAGAGGUAGUUAUCAAGGAGUUUUUGCGUGUCCUUUGUUUUCGAGUCGCAUUUGGUCGGUUUUAGGGCAAAUUCUGGACAAGAUGUAAUAUAUGGGUCCUAACUUGGAAAAAUUAUGUGAAUGGCAUUUCUUAAGCAUGGAUUGGGUAGUAAAAAGUUAUUUUGGAGGAGCCAUGAAAGAGGUAUUUAGCGAGGAGGUUUUGUGUGUCCUUUGUUUUCGAGUCGCAUUUGGUCGGUUUUAGGGCAAAUUCUGGACAAGCUGUCAUAUAUGGGUACCUGAGUUGGAAAAAUUCUGUGAGCAGCAUUUUUUAAGCAUGCAUUAGGUAGCCAUAAGUUAUUUUGGAUGGGCCAAUAAAGAGGUAGUUAUCGAGUNNNNNNNNNNNNNNNNNNNNNNNNNNNNNNNNNNNNNNNNNNNNNNNNNNNNNNNNNNNNNNNNNNNNNNNNNNNNNNNNNNNNNNNNNNNNNNNNNNNNNNNNNNNNNNNNNNNNNNNNNNNNNNNNNNNNNNNNNNNNNNNNNNNNNNNNNNNNNNNNNNNNNNNNNNNNNNNNNNNNNNNNNNNNNNNNNNNNNNNNNNNNNNNNNNNNNNNNNNNNNNNNNNNNNNNNNNNNNNNNNNNNNNNNNNNNNNNNNNNNNNNNNNNNNNNNNNNNNNNNNNNNNNNNNNNNNNNNNNNNNNNNNNNNNNNNNNNNNNNNNNNNNNNNNNNNNNNNNNNNNNNNNNNNNNNNNNNNNNNNNNNNNNNNNNNNNNNNNNNNCUGCACAAGCUGUCAUAUAUGGGUACCUAACUUGGAAAAAUUCUGUGAGCAGCAUUUUUAAGCAUGGAUUGGGUAGCAAUAAGUUAUUUUGGAUGAGCCAAGAAAGAGGUAGUUAUCAAGGAGUUUUUGCGUGUCCUUUGUUUUUGAGUCGCGUUUGGUCGGUUUUAGGGCAAAUUAUGUACAAGACAUCAAAUAUGGGUACCUAACUUGGAAAAAUUCUGUGAGAAGCAUUUUUUAAGCAUGGAUUGUGUAGCAAUAAGUUAUUUUGGAUGAGCCAAGAAAGAGGUAGUUAUCAGGUAGUUUUUGCAUGUCCUUUGUUUUUGAGUCGCGUUUGAUCGGUUUUAGGGCAAAUUAUGUACAAGACGUCAUAUAUGGGUACCUAACGUGGAAAAAUUCUAUGAACGACAUUUUUAAGCAUGGAUUGGGUAGUAAAAAGUUAUUUUUGGCAAGCCACGAAAGAGGUAGUUAUCGAGGAGUUUCUGCGUGUCCUUUGUUUCCGAGUCGCGUUUGGUAGGUUUUAGGGCAAAUUCUGUAACAGAUGCCAUAUAUGGGUACCUAACUUGGAAAAUUUCUAUGAACGACAUUUUUUAAGCAUGGAUUGGGCAGCAAAAAGCUAUUUUGGACGAGACACAAAAGAGGUAUUUAUCGAGCAGUUUUUCCGUGUCCUUUGUUUUCGAGUCGGGUUUGGUCGCUUUUAGGGCAAAUUCUGGACAAGCUGUCAUAUAUGGGUACCUGACUUGGAAAAAUUCUAUGAGCAGCAUUUUUUAAGCAUGGGGUAGCAAUAAGUUAUUUUGGACGAGGCAAGAAAGAGGUAGUUAUGGAGUAGUUUUUGCAUGUCCUUUGUUUUCGAGUCGCGUUUGGUCGGUUUUAGGGCAAAUUUUGUACAAGACGUCAUAUAUGGGUACCUAACGUGGAAAAAUUAGGUAAACGACAUUUUCUAAGCAUGGAUUAGGUAGCAAAAAGUUAUUUUGGAUGAGCCUUGAAAGAGGUGUUUAUCGAGGAUUUUUUGCGUGUCCUUUGUUUUUGAGUCGCGUUUGGUCGUUUUAGGGCAAAUUAUGCACAAGUUUUCAUAUAUGGGUACCUAACUUCGAAAAAUUCUGUGAGUAGCAUUUUUUAAGCAUGGAUUGGGUAGCAAUAAGUUAUUUUGGACGAGCCUAGAAAGAGGUAGUUAUCGUGGAGUUUUUGCGUGUCCUUUGUUUUUGAGUCGCGUUUUGUCGGUUUUAGGGUAAUUUCUGUACAAGACGUCAUAUAUGGGUACCUAACUUGGAAAAUUAUGUGAAUGGAAUUUUUUAAGCAUGGAUUGGGUUAUAAAAAGUUAUGUUGGACGAGCCACGAAAGUGUUAGUUAUCGAGGAGUUUUUGCGUGUCCUUUGGUUCCGAGUCGCGUUUGGUAGGUUUUAGGGCAAAUUCUGUAAUAGAUGCCAUAUAUGGGUACCUAACUUGGAAAAUUUCUGUGAACGACAUUUUUUAAGCAUGGAUUGGGCAGCAAAAAGUUAUUUUGGACGAGACACAAAAGAGGUAUUUAUCGAGCAGUUUUUCCGUGUCCUUUGUUUUCGAGUCGGGUUUGGUCGAUUUUAGGGCAAAUUUUGGACAAGCUGUCAUAUAUGGGUACCUCACUUGGAAAACUUCCGUGACCAGCAUUUUUUGAGCAUGGAUUAGGUAGCAAUAAGUUAUUUUGGAUGAGCCAGGAAAGAGGUAGUUAUCGAGUAGUUUUUCCGUGUCCUUUCUUUUUGAGACGCGUUUGGUCGGUUUUUGGGCAAAUUUUGUACAAGACGUCAUAUAUGGCUACCUAACAUGGAAAAAUUAUGUGAACAAAAUUUUUUAAGCAUGGAUUGGGUAGCAAAAAGUUAUUUUGGACGAGCCACGAAAGAGGUAGUUAUCGAGGAAUUUUUGCGUGUCCUUUGUUUUUGAGUCGCGUUUGGUUGGUUUUAGGGUAAAUUCUGUACAAGAUGUGAUAUAUGGGUACCUAACUUCGAAAUAUUCUGUGAACGACAUUUCUUAGCAUGGAUUGGGUAGCAAAAAAUUAUUUUGGGCAAGCCACCAAAGAGGUAAUUAUCGAGGAGUUUCUGCAUGUCGCGUUUGGUCGGUUUUAGGGCAAAUUCUAUAACAGAUGUCAUAUAUGGCAUUCUUUUAAGCAUGGAUUUGGUAGAAAAAAUUAUUUUGGACGAGCCACAAAAGAGGUAGUUAUCGAGGAGUUUCUGCGUGUCCUUUUUUUUGGAGUCGCGUUUGGUUGGUUUUAGGGCAAAUUCUAUAACAGAUGCCAUAUAUGGUACCUAACUCGGAAAAUUUCUGUGAACGACAUUUUUUAAGCAUGGAUUGGGCAGCAAAAAGUUAUUUUGGACGUGCCACGAAAGAGGUAUUUAUCGAGGAGUUUUUGCGUGUCCAUUGUUUUCGAGUCGCGUUUGGUCGGUUUUAGGGUAAAUGUACAAGAUGUCAUGUAUGGUUACCUAACUUGGAAAAUUUCUAUGAACGGAAUUUUUUAAGAAUGGAUUGUGUAGCUAAAGUUAUUUUGGACGAGCCACGAAAGAGGUAGUUAUAGAGGAGGUUUUGCGUGUCCUUUGUUUUCGAGUCGGGUUUGGUCGCUUUUAGGGCAAAUUCUGGACAAGCUGUCAUAUAUGGGUACCUGACUUGGAAAAAUUCUAUGAGCAGCAUUUUUUAAGCAUGGGGUAGCAAUAAGUUAUUUUGGACGAGGCAAGAAAGAGGUAUUUAUCGAGUAGUUUUUGCAUGUCCUUUGUUUUCGAGUCGCGUUUGGUCGGUUUUAGGGCAAAUUUUGUACAAGACAUCAUAUAUGGGUACCUAACGUGGAAAAAUUAGGUAAACGACAUUUUCUAAGCAUGGAUUAGGUAGCAAAAAGUUAUUUUGGAUGAGCCUUGAAAGAGGUGUUUAUCGAGGAUUUUUUGCGUGUCCUUUGUUUUUGAGUCGCGUUUGGUCGGUUUUAGGGCAAAUUAUGCACAAGUUUUCAUAUAUGGGUACCUAACUUCAAAAAAUUCUGUGAGUAGCAUUUUUUAAGCAUGGAUUGGGUAGCAAUAAGUUAUUUUGGACGAGCCAAGAAAGAGGUAGUUAUCGUGGAGUUUUUGCGUGUCCUUUGUUUUUGAGUCGCGUUUUGUCGGUUUUAGGGCAAUUUCUGUACAAGACGUCAUAUAUGGGUACCUAACUUGGAAAAUUAUGUGAAUGGAAUUUUUUAAGCAUGGAUUGGGUUAUAAAAAGUUAUGUUGGACGAGCCACGAAAGUGUUAGUUAUAGAGGAGUUUUUGCGUGUCCUUUGGUUCCGAGUCGCGUUUGGUAGGUUUUAGGGCAAAUUCUGUAAUAGAUUCCAUAUAUGGGUACCUAACAUGGAAAAUUUCUGUGAACGACAUUUUUUAAGCAUGGAUUGGGCAGCAAAAAGUUAUUUUUGACGAGACACAAAAGAGGUAUUUAUCGAGCAGUUUUUCCGUGUCCUUUGUUUCGACUCGGGUUUGGUCGGUUUUAGGGCAAAUUUUGGACAAGCUGUCAUAUAUGGGUACCUCACUUGGAAAACUUCCGUGACCAGCAUUUUUUAAGCAUGGAUUAGGUAGCAAUAAGUUAUUUUGGAUGAGCCAAGAAAGAGGUAGUUAUCGAGUAGUUUUUCCGUGUCCUUUGUUUUUGAGACGCGUUUGGUCGGUUUUUGGGCAAAUUUUGUACAAGACGUCAUAUAUUGGUACCUAACAUGGAAACAUUAUGUGAACGAAAUUUUUUAAGCAUGGAUUGGGUAGCAAAAAGUUAUUUUGGACGAGCCACGAAAGAGGUAGUUAUCGAGGAAUUUUUGCGUGUCCUUUGUUUUUGAGUCGCGUUUGGUCGGUUUUAGGGUAAAUUCUGUACAAGAUGUGAUAUAUGGGUACCUAACUUCAAAAUAUUCUGUGAACGACAUUUUUUAGCAUGGAUUGGGUAGCAAAAAAUUAUUUUGGGCAAGCCACCAAAGAGGUAAUUAUCGAGGAGUUUCUGCAUGUCGCGUUUGGUCGGUUUUAGGGCAAAUUCUGUAACAGAUGUCAUAUAUGGCAUUCUUUUAAGCAUGGAUUUGGUAGAAAAAAUUAUUUUGGACGAGCCACAAAAGAGGUAGUUAUCGAGGAGUUUCUGCGUGUCCUUUGUUUUGGAGUCGCGUUUGGUCGGUUUUAGGGCAAAUUCUAUAACAAAAGCCAUAUAUGGUACCUAACUCGGAAAAUUUCUGUGAACGACAUUUUUUAAGCAUGGAUUGGGCAGCAAAAAGUUAUUUUGGACGUGCCACGAAAGAGGUAUUUAUCGAGGAGUUUUUGCUUGUCCUUUGUUUUCGAGUCGCGUUUGGUCGGUUUUAGGGUAAAUGUACAAGAUGUCAUGUAUGGUUACCUAACUUGGAAAAUUUCUAUGAACGGAAUUUUUUAAGAAUGGAUUGUGUAGCUAAAGCUAUUUUGGACGAGCCACGAAAGAGGUAGUUAUAGAGGAGGUUUUGCGUGUCCUUUGUUUUCGAGUCGCGUUUGGUUGGUUCAAGGGCAAAUUCUGUACAAGAUGUCAUAUAUGGGUACCUAACUUAGAAAAAUUCUGUGAACGACAUUUUGUUAGCAUGGAUUGGGUAGCAAAAAGUUAUGUUGGACGAGCCACUAAAGAGGUAGUUAUCGAGGAGUUUUUGCGUCUCCUUUGUUUUCCGAGUCGCGUUUGGUUGGUUUUAGGGCAAAUUCCGUACACGAUGUAAUAUAUGGGUACCUAACUUGGAAAAAUUAGGUGAACGACAUUUUUAAUUAUGGAUGGGGUUAUAAAAAGUUAUGUUGGAGGAGCCACGAUAGAGUUAGUUAUCGAGGAGUUUUUGCGUGUCCUUUGUUUUCGAGUCGCGUUUGGUCAGUUUUAGGGCAAAUUCUGUACAACAUGUCAUAUAUGGGUACCUAACUUUGGAAAAAUUCUGUGAAUGGCAUUUUUUAAGCAUGGAUUGGGUAGCAGAAAGUUAUUUUGGAAGAGCCACGAAAGAGGUAGUUAUCGAGGAGUUUUUGCAUGUCAUUUGUUUUCGAGUCGCGUUUAGUCGGUUUUAGGACAAAUUCUGUACAAGAUGUCAUAUAUGGGUACCUAACUUGGAAAAAUUCUGUGAGUGACAUUUCCUAAGCAUGGAUUGGGUAGCAAAAAGUUAUGUUGGACGAGCCACUAAAGAGGUAGUUAUCGAGGAGUUUUUGCAUGUCCUUUUUUUUCGAGUCUCGUUUGGUCGGUUUUAGGGCAAAUUCUGUACAACAUGUGAUAUAUGGGUACCUAACUUUGGAAAAAUUCUGUUAAUGGCAUUUUUUAAGCAUGGAUUGGGUAGCAAAAAGUUAUUUUGGAAGAGCCACGAAAGACGUAGUUAUUGAGUCACGUUUCGUCGGUUUUAGGCCAAAUUCUGUACAAGAUGUCAUAUAUGGGUACCUAACAUGGAAAAAUUCUAUGACCGGCUUUUUAAGCAUGGAUUGGGUAGCCAAAAGUUAUUUUGGACGAGUCAUGAAAGAGAUAGUUUUUGCGUGUCCUUUGUUUCGAGUCACGUUUGGUCGAUUUUAGGGCAAAUUUUGUACAACAUGUCAUAUAUGGGUACCUAACUUGGA
rnacentral:lncRNA from 1 species